rnacentral:rRNA from 1 species
UACGUAGGUGGCAAGCGUUGUCCGGAUUUACUGGGCGUAAAGGGAGCGUAGGUGGAUAUUUAAGUGGGAUGUGAAAUCCCCGGGCUUAACCUGGGGGCUGCAUUCCAAACUGGAUGUCUAGAGUGCAGGAGAGGAGAGUGGAAUUCCCAGUGUAGAGGUGAAAUUCGUAGAUAUUGGGAAGAACACCGGUGGCGAAGGCGGCUCUCUGGACCGAUACUGACGCUGAGGCGCGAAAGCGUGGGGAGCAAACAGG